UUGCCCAUCGGGGCUGUGGAUACCAGGUUUUAUUAUCAUUUUU
rfam:Felis catus isolate Cinnamon breed Abyssinian chromosome E2, whole genome shotgun sequence.